AACGCUGGCGGCGUGCCUAACACAUGCAAGUCGAACGCGAAAGGGGCUUCGGCCCUGAGUAGAGUGGCGAACGGGUGAGUAACACGUGGGUGAUCUACCUUGGGUUGGGGGAUAACGUCCGGAAAGGGACGCUAAUACCGCAUGACGUUCUGGGUUUAAAGACCUGGAAACCAAAGCCGGGGACCGCAAGGCCUGGCGCUUGAAGAGGAGCCGGCGUCCGAUUAGCUAGUUGGCGGGGUAAGGGCCCACCAAGGCGACGAUCGGUAGCCGGCUUGAGAGGGCGGACGGCCACACUGGAAUUGAGACACGGUCCAGAUUCUUACGGGAGGCACCAGUGGGGAAUUGUUCCCAAUGGGCGCAAGCCUGAUGACGCAACGCGGCGUGGGGGAUGAAGGUCUUCGGAUCGUAAACCCCUGUCGAAUGGGACGAAAGACCCGGGAGCUAAUCAUCCCGGGAGUGACGGUACCGUUAAAGGAA
rnacentral:rRNA from 1 species